rnacentral:rRNA from 1 species
AACGCGAAGAACCUUACCUAAGCUUGACAUCCUUUUGACCGAUGCCUAAUCGCAUCUUUCCCUUCGGGGACAGAAGUGACAGGUGGUGCAUGGUUGUCGUCAGCUCGUGUCGUGAGAUGUUGGGUUAGGUCCCGCAACGAGCGCAACCCUUGCCUUUAGUUGCCAGCAUUAAGUUGGGCACUCUAGAGGGACUGCCAGGGAUAACCUGGAGGAAGGUGGGGAUGACGUCAAAUCAUCAUGCCCCUUAUGCUUAGGGCUACACACGUGCUACAAUGGGUGGUACAGAGGGCAGCCAAGUCGUGAGGCGGAGCUAAUCCCUUAAAGCCAUUCUCAGUUCGGAUAGUAGGCUGAAACUCGCCUACAUGAAGCUGGAGUUACUAGUAAUCGCAGAUCAGAAUGCUGCGGUGAAUGCGUUCCCGGGUCUUGUACACACGC